rnacentral:lncRNA from 13 species
AUGUCACCUGUAGAGGGCUGCAUACAAGAGACUCUUGCCUGUGAUAUCUACUUCCUGGGAUACACCCGGCAAAAUCAAGGGGGCCCAACCCUCAUCCCAAUGUGUAGAGAAGAUUUGACUUGGAGCCAAAUACAAUUAUUCUCAAACCUCAGGCCUUGCCUGCAUUCUUCUUCUUUCUUUUGCCUUGCCUGCCUUCUUCUUCUUUCUUUUGCCUUGCCUGCCUUCUUCUUCUUUCUUUUGCCUUGCCUGCCUUCUUCUUCUUUUGCCUUGCCUGCCUUCUUCUUCUUCUUUUGCCUUGCCGCCCUUUGCCGCCGUUUGCCUUGGCACCUUUCGCUGCCUUUUGCCUUGAUGCCUUUUGCCUUGCCACCUUUUGCCUUGCCGCCUUUUGCCUUGCUGCCUUUUGCCUUGCCACCUUGCCUUGCCCUGCCCCGCCCUGUUCCACCCCACUUUGCCCCACGCCACCCUGCCCUGCCCUGCUCUGACCUGCCCUGCCUUGCCUUGCCUUGCCUGGGAUUGCCUUGGCUGUGA